GACGAACGCUGGCGGCGUGCCUAACACAUGCAAGUCGAGCGAAUGAAGUUCCUUCGGGAAUGGAUUUAGCGGCGGACGGGUGAGUAACACGUGGGCAACCUGCCUCAUAGAGGGGAAUAGCCUUCCGAAAGGGAGAUUAAUACCGCAUAAGAUUGUAGUGCCGCAUGGUACAGCAAUUAAAGGAGCAAUUCGCUAUGAGAUGGGCCCGCGGCGCAUUAGCUAGUUGGUGAGGUAACGGCUCACCAAGGCGACGAUGCGUAGCCGACCUGAGAGGGUGAUCGGCCACAUUGGGACUGAGACACGGCCCAGACUCCUACGGGAGGCAGCAGUGGGGAAUAUUGCACAAUGGGGGAAACCCUGAUGCAGCAACGCCGCGUGAGUGAUGACGGCCUUCGGGUUGUAAAGCUCUGUCUUCAGGGACGAUAAUGACGGUACCUGAGGAGGAAGCCA
rnacentral:rRNA from 1 species